rnacentral:tRNA from 1 species
CCUUCGAUAGCUCUGUUGGUAGAGCGGAGGACUGUAGAUCCUUAGGUCGCUGGUUCAAAUCCGGCUCGAAGGA